rnacentral:rRNA from 1 species
AACGCGGUGGCAGGCUUAACACAUGCAAGUCAAGCGGGGGAAGGUAGCUUGCUACCGGACCUAGCGGCGGAAGGGUGAGUAACGCUUAGGAAUCGCCUCUUAGUGGGGGACAACAUCUCGAAAGGGAUGCUAAUACCGCUACGUCCUACGGGAGAAAGCAGGGGAUGUUCGGACCAUGCGAUAACAGAUGAGCCUAAGUGGGAUUAGCUAGUUGGUGGGGUAAAGGCCUACCAAGGCGACGAUCUGUAGCGGGUCUGAGAGGAUGAUCCGCCACACUGGGACUGAGACACGGCCCAGACUCCUACGGGAGGCAGCAGUGGGGAAUAUUGGACAAUGGGGGGAACCCUGAUCCAGCCAUGCCGCGUGUGUGAAGAAGGCCUUAUGGUUGUAAAGCACUUUAAGCGAGGAGGAGGCUACUCUAGUUAAUAC